rnacentral:rRNA from 1 species
GACGAACGCUGGCGGCGUGCUUAACACAUGCAAGUCGAGCGGUAAGGCCCUUUCGGGGGUACACGAGCGGCGAACGGGUGAGUAACACGUGGGUGACCUGCCUCUAGCUCUGGGAUAAGCCUGGGAAGCUGGGUCUAAUACCGGAUAUGACCUCGCGGUGCAUGUUGCGGGGUGGAAAGCCUUGUGCGGCUAGGGGAUGGGCCCGCGGCCUAUCAGCUUGUUGGUGGGGUGANGGCCUACCAAGGCGACGACGGGUAGCCGGCCUGAGAGGGCGACCGGCCACACUGGGACUGAGACACGGCCCAGACUCCUACGGGAGGCAGCAGUGGGGAAUCUUGCGCAAUGGGCGAAAGCCUGACGCAGCGACGCCGCGUGAGGG